UACAGUGUUUCUUAAACAGGAAAAAUUGGAGAAAAAUUCUAAGAAAAAUAUAUGAUGAAAGUAAAAUUAUUUGGAGAUAUUCUAUGGUGUUAGUUGAAUUUUUGGGUGAUCGUAGAAUAUUUUUGAGAAAUAUGGAUGUAUUUUAGUUAUAUUUUUAGCAUGUGGGCAUAUAAGAUUAAUUGAAAUUAAGAUAAUUAAAUUUUAUAUAAUUGGUUGAAGCUUGAGGAUGGAGGUUUAAAUAUGUGAAUAUUUAAUUGGGUUGAAUUAGGAAUAUGUUAGCUGUUGAAAACUUAUGGAAUCGAGUAAAAUUCUUGAAUAAAAUAUUCAUGGGUGAUUAGAAAAUUACAAUUCAUUUUGCAAUAGCCUUAUAAUAUUAUUAAGGACCGCGGGGCAAAAUUUUAGAAUUUUUAGAGCUUGUUUGAGUGGAUUUUUGAAAAAUGUCAAUUAUAUGGACUAAAACGUAAUUUUUAAAAUUUUGAGUAUAGUCUGAUUUGGAGGGCCCAGGAGGGGCCAUGUGAUAUUAAUGAGAUGUGAUUGUGGAAAUUGAGAAUUUAGAAGUGUUAUUUGAGCCUCUUUGCAGGUUGGGUAGGUCCCAGGUAUAGGGGAAACUCUGCCGGAUUUCCGGCAUGAAUUAGGCUGUCUAUUGCCUCUUUAGAGUUUUAUUUUGAGUUAGUACUAAUAAAUUUAUAAUUUAAUUAUUAGGUGAUCGAGAUCAACUAUUUUCCUGCAUCCAGCAGCCACAAUAGUCGACGGUGUACUGCCACAGGAGGAGUUAUUUUACAGAGCAACCUGUUUUCUUCCUCGCAGGUUUAACGUCGAUUAUUUAAUUGUAUUAUUAUUCUCUAAAUUUGUAAUUUAGGACUCCGCAUGUGCUAGUAGUAGCAUUAAGCCUGUCAGGGACUGUAUGAAUUCAAGUUUGCGUAUUAAUAAAUGAAAAGAAAAAUUUUACGAGUUUUAAA